GACAGGAUUGAGUUUAAAAGCACGCACAGAGAAAAAAAAAACUACUGGACAAGUGUCAGAUUAUCAUUUUUAUUAACUGGUGGAAAAAUCCAAUAAAAUGAGGACAGCUGAAUAAUAAAAUGAGCAGCAGUUCAUAACAAUUACCCCAACCUUGCCACUCGUUAAACUUAUUAGCAUACAAGACCAUAAAGGGAAACAAAGUUCACCAACCUGAUUUAUAAAACGUUACAUUCGUUAGCAACGCUUGCAGCUAUGGAGUACGGAGCAUGAUAGCAAAGAAACAGGGUGUGAAUUUUAUGAUUUAGUGCUUUUCGUUUUCUGGUGAUUCCUUUUUCUUUCGGUGGUCUUGCAUUAUUAUUUGCACCCUUUACUUGCCAUCAAGCUCCAGGCAUAAAGGUUUUGUUUACAAACUUGUGGGGUUGCCACUUACGGAUAAUGAACACAUUUAAAAAUCAUAUUUAAUACAGGAUGCGUAUUGCAGCAUCGUAUAUUUGUCACAUAUGAACACACACAACCUGCCUGCAGAAGCACAGCCUGGAAUGCCAUUGGAUGUUUCGCUCUUCUUAGGUUGACACAAAGAGAAACAUUUCCAAGAACGCCAUUUCUCCACGCAAGUCCUGACUUACUGAAUUUCAGGAAGAAGGAUUUCUUUACUUGUUUGUUUUAAAUUAUAACCACAAAUUUGGAAGAGAAACGAGAAAAGGCAGCUUGAUGAACACUGGCAGUUUUUAGAGAAAUACUUCUGGGCAAAUGACUGCAUAUGCAGUGUGUUAAAUAUUUGGGAACAUCUGGCUUUUUUGUUGCAGUUUUCAAUACCCAGCUGAGGCAAAUAUUUGCAAACGAAAUGACUUGCUGAAAACAAAUGUAUUCAUUUUUCUACCUAGAAAAUUGAAUCACAUGUAUUUUUAUAGAAUACCUGUACUUGUAAAAAAACAUGACAGUAUUUCCUGAAUUCAGUGCUGGACCCAUAGUUUGAAGGAUCCCUACAGGAGGCAACACUGCAAGUACAAACAGACCAAGGAAUGGAAGAGCAGCUAACACUGUCUAGCCCUCCACAUGAAAGAAAACCCAAUAAAGUACUGUAGAAUUUAGUACAGAACAAUGUUAUUCAUCAUCGUUCAAGUUACACAACACAGUCAGACAGGGGGGAAAGAGGGGAGAAAGAUCCCCAAAUCAACUUUUCUAAAGCUAAUCAAAGGGAUUAAAAUCAUUUACUCAUGGAGGUUCAAAACUGUUUAUCAUCCAUCUUUAUUCUUCAGCCUUAAUGUAAAAGGGCAUUUUGCUGAAAGCAAGCAUUGCUAACAGAGUACUUUUCACUGCUUUGCAGCUAAAUCCAGCAUGUUCUUUAGCUGAGUUUCAUUUACCAAACACCGCUGACAUCAAUCACGCUAAACUUGUAGUAAAAAUCUACUGCAGUGCCUCUGAGCCAAAACGUCCUAUCAAUUUAAUCAAUGCUACUUAAAAUACUACUGCAGCAGCACUUUCAAAAAUUAGAAAAGUAAUCUGGAUGCCAAGCAUGCAUUUAGAGACUCAAAUUUAAAAGUGCCUUAAGUUAAUGCAAGAAUAAAGGGAACCAAGUGUAGCAUCAAGAGAAUAGUAGUGUGUUUCUACUUACGUGGCACUGUUACGCCAUAAUGCUGCGUGUCACUGAUCAGCAAUUUUCGUUUAAGCUCAUUCAGUCCAACCCCCACUGGUCCUAAAAAAAAGAAACAGUGCUGUUUCCCAGCAGCCAGGUCUCUCAUCUUCAGGCACAAGUGCUCUCCGAGCGGUGACCAGAAGGACACCAUUGUGGGGACUACAGACAGCCAAGUUCUGGGACAAGAAAACCCCUUCUGAUUUGUAUCACGAGACUGAAGCAAUGCAUUUUGAUUAGAUGAUAAAUACUACAGGGAACCUAUGCCAGUGACAGAUUACAGAGGAACAGAAAGCUGAGUCUUAAGACUUCUGCAGCUAUAUUUACAUCUGCUCUUGGCACACAGAAGCCCACCUCUCAUCCACCUUUCUCUCAACCUGCUAAUUUACUUGUUCUAACACAGUAGGUUCUGUUGCUCUCCAUGCAUAUAUUCUGCCUUGACUGACCACAAGUAUUUAUUCCAUUUUUUUCAUCUUUUCCUACUCUGCUAUACUGAUUGAUCUUUAAGAGCAGAGCACUGCCUUAAUUCUUAGGAGUUUCAGUACAGAUUGACAACCAGGUUCAGAUUAGUCACCAUGAUAGCUUUAUUUAAACAUUACCUCUUUUUAUUUUAACAAGGCUGUAGACAUUGUCUCCAAAAGCAUCCUUACAUACUAGUGGGGAUACUGUAUCUAAAUUGGUGGUCUACAAGGCAGGUGAAAACCAAAUGGAUGACCGUGCUUGAAGGGUAGGGGUUACUGGUCUGUACUACACUGGGUAACUCACUGCAAGUGGAGCUCCUUGGGGGUCUACUGUGGGAUGUACCAUUUCACAUCUUCAUUAGAAAAAAAAUGGAGGAUAACACAGAAGAGCCCCCUGCUGAGUUUCCAGAUGCCAAACCGGUUGAUUUAGAUGACUUGUCUGAGGAUAGAGCUGCAAAACAGAGGGACCUCAGCAAGUGACGUGAAUGGGCUGGCAGAUCUUUGGCAAAUUUGAUGAGGACAAAUGCAAAGUUCUGCACAUACAACAGACUGCAGUACAAGAUGAGGACUGACUGGCUGUGGAGCAGAUUAUAUGAAAAGGACUGGAAGGUCCAGGCAGCAACUGAGCUAAGCAUGUGACCACAGGGACACUGGCAGUGAGGAGGGCUAUCCUGGGCUAAAUCAGAAAUGGGAUAGCCACUGAAUGGAGGGAAGUGGUUUUUCCUAUUAGUUAGACACUGCAAGAAAUGAUCAGCCCAUAUUGGGCCCUUUAUUACAAGAAAGAUGCUGAUAAACUGGAGUAAGGAUAGUGAAGAGUUUCUAAGAUGGCUGGAAGAUGAAGAAUAACCUACACGUGAGACAGGCUGAGGGAACAGGGCUUGGAGAAGAGACUGCUUCAGGGGGACCCAACCAGCACCCUUCUAACACUUACUGAGAAGAUGUACCCUGCCUCUUCACUGAGGUGAACGGGGGGAAGAAAAGAGAAGACAUAGUAGGAAGACAAGUUCCCAAAGGUGCUGCCGUCAGAAACCUGCUCUGAAUUCAGAAUUACUCCUGCUUUGAGUGGGAAGCUGGACAAGCUGACCUCCUAAGAUCUACUCCAGUCUGAAUGAUUCUGUGGUAAGCAUUGCACUAAUCAGCAGUCCUUUGUUUUACCAGGUUAAAAAUAAGGAAAACAACUUACCAACC